CGCCACCACACCACCUCAUGUUACCACACAUCUUCCUACUAAAUCCAUGUCAGUUCCUCCUGGCCGUUUGUUGUUCUGCAUUUCUCAACUGCUGGUUCGUAUCUCCAAUUUGAUGCGCUUGGCUUCUCUCGUGAAUUCUCGUUGGAGAUGAGUUUUACGGCCACGGGUAGUGAUGGCAUUAUGGUUUAUGCUGAUGAUGUGGACAGUGGGGACUUUGUGGCUUAGUCAUAUGAGGACAGAGUUGUAGUGUUGAGAGUUAAUGAUGGCAGUGGGACUCUGACUGUUUAAUCUGAAGGCAAGAAAUUAUAAUAAAGGUGAACAAUUCAAAGCCGUCGUUUCAAUCAAGAAAUCGACAAUUACACUGAAUGUUGAGAGUCGUAAACGUGCUACGAAAAAUCGAGGCCAAUGAGAGAGGUUCAUACUCACUAAUGUUUUUGUUGGAGGCAUUCCUAGUGAUCAACAGACUAUUGAAGAUGCGCAAGUCGUUCUUGGUUUUCAAGGCUGCGUUCACUUGCUCACCAUCAACGAAAAAGACAUCAACUUGCUGUCUUUUGCAGCAUCGAAUUCCGUGUGUCAGUGUGGUGACAGGCCUCCAGAUGAUAUGUCUACACCAUCUGCUGAGAAAACCACAACAACACAAGCAUCCACAGCUACACAACCACCUCCUCCAUUGGGCAAUCUUUCUUUUGCUGCUGCCUCUUACCUUGCAUUUGAUCCUCCUGAAGACUCGCGGUCAUUUGUACUUGACAUGGAGUUUAUUUUUACUGCGAACGCCCGACUGAUGUUUUAUGUUGCGAAUAAAAAGAGUGGAGAUAUGAUAUCGGCUUUGUACUUGGAGAGACGCAUAAGAGUGAGUGUAAACAAUGGAUCUGCAGCAGUGCAGUUGAUUUCCGGAGGCAGGAAUCUCAAGAAACGCACUAAAUUUCGUUUUACAUUAUCGGUGAAAAGUGGAGCAGUAACACUGAGUGUCAGUCGUUCACGUGAAAGAGCUGAUUAAGAUACGUCCAAAAAGUUCAAGUUUGGUGACAAUCUUACGUUCAUUGGUGGCUUACCAGCUGAUGUGAAGCCACUUUCAAUGUCAUUGCCAUCAGGAAGUAGUGCUGGCUUUGAAGGCUGUGUGUUUUAUGUAUCAGUCAAUUCUGUGGAAUUGGAUUUCACAUCACCACGGAUGUACAAUGGUGUGUCUCAAUGUAAAGAAGAUGGUUAUGAUUCUCAGUGACAUUUUCAUUGAUUUCUUAAUACGAACGCAUGCCCUUUUGGACUUACUAUACACCGAUACUUCUGGCAGUUCAGUAAUUAUUGGGUAUUGAAGAGGCAUGAGUAAGUGACUUAGGUAUUUCUAUUACGUGUAAGAAAAGAUGUGGUGCACUCGUUUCGUAGUGAAG